rnacentral:lncRNA from 1 species
GAGGAUCAGCUCUCCUGGCCCAGGCCACUGUCUUCUGUAUUCUUCCCAUGAAGUGUUGGUUUCACAGGGCAUUCUUCCUCCACCAGUUCGGUGACCCCAGCCCUCUAUUCCUAAUGCUAUUUGUGGCAGUCAACCUCAACCCACAAAUAGUUUCACACUGACAAAAUAUUGCCAAACACAUUGAGUCUUCACUGUAAAAAAUUCACCAGCUCUGCAGGACCUUUGGCAGCCACAUCCACAGUGGCUGCCUGCACACCUCCAUGCCCUCUUGAGUUUCUCCUAGACUUCUGAAAGAAGCCAAGCUGCCUUAUCUCCACUCUAUUAUAAUGUGCUGCUGUCAAACUGCCAGGCAUUUUAAGAGGCUUCUAGUGCAAUGUCUAAUUUACCUGCUAAGUGUUUGCACAAUGCCAAGCACAAUGGGGUCUUGACUCUGGCAAAGAUGCUCAGACACUGCUAUCAUUAACCGUAAUUAUGACUGAUUACCCAAAUCACUGCUCACGUCAUGGGGCAGACUCUUCUCGGUGUGCAGAGGCUGCCGAGGCUCUGCCUGAGCAUGGAGCCAGGGUGCCGCACCCUGGGCUGCCAGCCCGGCCUCCUCAGGGCAGGGCCCAGCCAGUGGCCGGGGCAGAGGGCAGCAGGAGGCUGCAAGGCAGCAGGCAAUGAGACCGCAGGCUCAAGGGAGGAAGCCAAGGCUCAUGCCUUAGCCUCUGCCUGGGGCCCUUCCAACCUUCUACAUUCUGAGUAACUGUUGCUCCAGGGUUUUCGGCUUGGUGAUUCUCAGCAGCAUCAAUCAAAGCAGUUUAUAAGGACAGUCAAGUCUUAUAUUCCAGCUGGACCUGGGCAGAGGAAGGCAGAGAUGGAGACUGGGAGCAGGACUUGGGCUCUCCAGUCUUUAGUAUAGCAGACAAGCUUGCUCGGGAGAGAAACACUCUCACAGUAAGACCUCAUUUUUACCUGGUCUGUGGAGGCUCAUCUCCUUAAUCCUACUAUUCCAUUUCUGUGACUCUCAUCUGUCAAGUGUCAGUAUUUCAAAAGCCCUCACUAGUAUUUUCCAGUAAGUUGGAUAGCACUGUGCUGGUAUUAUUGUUGUUUAAAAUUCAUCUUUUGAAAUGUAUAUGAAAUGGUGAUGGGCAGUAAACUGCAUUUAGGUGCUUUUGGUUGUGAUGGUGGGAUGAUGCAUUUUGCUCUUGGACGAGACCUGAGUAGCUACAGUUACUGCAACACUAAGCCCUAGCCACCACUUCUUCUGAUUGAGACUGGAGUGUCUUUAAAAUAAUCAUUGCAGAAAUAGCACAGCAGCAUAGAAGAUUUGAGACUUUAAAGCUCAGCAAAAAUAAAGGUAGUCUUUUUCCAUCUCA